GGGGGUGACUGGUUUCGACUUUGUUCGUAGCGACAGGGGAAGCGAGCCGAGGAAGCCGACAUUGUCUCGUUAAUCAGUGGUCGGAAACCAAUAAGCGCCAACUACAAGCGCUCUGAUCUCGCUCUCGCUGUCUAAGCGAGUUUGAGAUCUGUCGGUCCGGGAGUGCCUUCGGCCCGGUCACCGGCAUCAGCUAGAAGGCUGGCCAAUCCGGACCCGUUGCGGGGCCGGGGCGGCGAGAUUUAAAUGCAACUGGGCCCGCCACACCGACUCGCUCACGUGAUCGGAGGGGCCGAGUAGAGGCACAGUGAGCUGCGCUCGGAGAAGCCCUGACAAAGCGGCGAAGGACCCGGGUUCGAUUCCCGGCACCUCCA
rnacentral:tmRNA from 1 species